rnacentral:rRNA from 1 species
CCUACGGGAGGCAGCAGUCGAGAAUCAUUCACAAUGGGGGAAACCCUGAUGGUGCGACGCCGCGUGGGGGAAUGAAGGUCUUCGGAUUGUAAACCCCUGUCAUGUGGGAGCAAAUUAAAAAGAUAGUACCACAAGAGGAAGAGACGGCUAACUCUGUGCCAGCAGCCGCGGUAAUACAGAGGUCUCAAGCGUUGUUCGGAAUCACUGGGCGUAAAGCGUGCGUAGGCUGUUUCGUAGGUCGUGUGUGAAAGGCGGGGGCUCAACCCGCGGACGGCACAUGAUACUGCGAGACUAGAGUAAUGGAGGGGGAACCGGAAUUCUCGGUGUAGCAGUGAAAUGCGUAGAUAGCGAGAGGAACACUCGUGGCGAAGGCGGGUUCCUGGACAUUAACUGACGCUGAGGCACGAAGGCCAGGGGAGCGAAAGGGAUUAGAUACCCUUGUAGUC